GACGAACGCUGGCGGCGUGCUUAACACAUGCAAGUCGAACGGAAAGGCCCUGCUUUUGUGGGGUGCUCGAGUGGCGAACGGGUGAGUAACAAGUGAGUAACCUGCCCUUGACUUUGGGAUAACUUCAGGAAACUGGGGGUAAUAACGGAUAGGAGCUCCUGCUGCAUGGUGGGGGUUGGAAAGUUUCGGCGGGUGGGGAUGGACUCGCGGCUUAUCAGCUUGUUGGUGGGGUAGUGGCUUACCAAGGCUUUGACGGGUAGCCGGCCUGAGAGGGGGACCGGCCACAUUGGGACUGGGAUACGGCCCAGACCCCUACGGGAGGCAGCAGUGGGGAAUAUUGCACAAUGGGCGGGAGCAUGAUGCGGCGACGCCGCGUGCGGGAAGACGGCCUUCGGGUUGUAAACCGCUUUCGCCUGUGACGAGGCGUGAGUGACGGUACCGGGUAAAGAAGCACCGGCUAACUACGUG
rnacentral:rRNA from 1 species